GGAGGAGUGUCCGAGUGGUUUAAGGAGGCGGUCUUGAAAACCGUUAGGCGCAAGCCUCGUGGGUUCGAAUCCUACCUCCUCCGCCA
rnacentral:tRNA from 1 species